rnacentral:rRNA from 1 species
CAAGAUGAGAUUUCCCAUAGCGUAAGCUAGUAAGACUCCUGGAAGAACAUCAGGUUGAUAGGUCAGAGAUGUAAGCAUGGCAACAUGUUAAGUUGACUGAUACUAAUAAGUCGAGGGCUUGACCAGAA